rnacentral:misc_RNA from 1 species
AAGUCGUAACAAGGUUUCCGUAGGUGAACCUGCGGAAGGAUCAUUAAUAAACCUAGUCGCUCGCGUCAGGGGCAACCCGCGCGCGAGCGUCUCACCUAGGUCACCCUUGAAUAAACUACCUUCGUUGCUUUGGCGGGCCGCCUCCAAGGCCAGCGGCUUCGGCUGCUGCGCGCCCGCCGGAGGACCACAACUCUUGUUUUUAGUGAUGUCUGAGUACUAUAUAAUAGUUAAAACUUUCAACAACGGAUCUCUUGGUUCUG